GAUGAACGCUGGCGGCGUGCCUAAUACAUGCAAGUAGAACGCUGAAGGAAGGAGCUUGCUCUUUCCGGAUGAGUUGCGGACGGGUGAGUAACGCGUAGGUAACCUGCCUGGUAGCGGGGGAUAACUAUUGGAAACGGUAGCUAAUACCGCAUAACAGUAUAUGUUGCAUGAUAUCUACUUAAAAGGUGCAAUUGCACCACUACCAGAUGGACCUGCGUUGUAUUAGCUAGUUGGUGAAGUAACGGCUUACCAAAGGGACCAUACAUAGGCGACCUGAGAGGGUGGUCGGCCACACUGGGACUGAGAAACGGCCCAGACUCCUACGGGAGGCAGCAGUAGGGGAUCUUCGGCAAAGGACGGAAGGCUGAACGGGGAACGGCGGGUGGGUGAAGGAGGUUUUCGGGUUGGAAAGCUCUGUUGAAAGGGAAGAAAGAGUGUGGGAAGUGAAAAUGCACGCUGUGACGGUACCUUACCAGAAAGGGACGGCUAACUACGUG
rnacentral:rRNA from 1 species